rnacentral:tRNA from 1 species
GAGNAUGUAGCUCAAUGGUAGAGUGUUUGCCUGGAAUGCACCAGGUCCUGGGUUUGGUUCCCAGCAAUCCCC